CCAGCGGUCACGGCCCACGGGACAAGCGCUCAGCUGUCAGGCAGCAGCAGGUGUCAUGGAGGGGCCCUGGUGGUGGACUGGUGGUAGAAAUGUUUACGUUUUGUUCUUCAUUGGACAAACAAUGUGAUGUGGACGUGUUGUGGUGCCUUGACGUGGGCGUCGCUGCCGUGAGCAGGAUGGAAGGAGCAAGGAAGGGACGUCAGCUGCUGGCUGAGGCUGCUGGACCACUUGUCACCACUCCCUUCCCUUUACUUUGACGCUCAGUUGGUGGCCCAAAGGAGGAAGAUGGAAGCAUGGACAUUUAACCAUCGUCAACUGUCGUAUAGAAGGAAAGUCAAGCCAAGCCAAGCCAAGCCACAACACAACACAAGCCUUCUACAAGACCUACAGCCAUCAGCAACACCCAGAGUACAAGACAAUACCUGAGCCAUGAAGAAGAGUUAGGAUAGAUUAGCAGUUUGUCAUGUUUUUUUUUUUUUUUAAGGACAUUUUAAGACAGUUUGGCAUGUUUUUAUGGUAUUUU
rnacentral:lncRNA from 1 species